rnacentral:rRNA from 1 species
UACGUAGGGGGCAAGCGUUGUCCGGAUUCAUUGGGCGUAAAGCGCGUGUAGGCGGCCAGGUAGGUCCGGUGUGAAAACUCGAGGCUUAACCUCGAGAUGUCAUCGGAAACCAUUUGGCUAGAGUCCGGAAGAGGAGAGUGGAAUUCCUGGUGUAGCGGUGAAAUGCGCAGAUAUCAGGAAGAACACCAAUGGCGAAAGCAGCUCUCUGGGACGGUACUGACGCUGAGACGCGAAAGCGUGGGGAGCGAACAGG